UACGGAGGGUGCGAGCGUUGUUCGGAAUCACUGGGCGUAAAGCGCGUGUAGGCGGCCCACUAAGUCUGAUGUGAAAGCCCGGGGCUCACCCCCGGAAGUGCAUUGGAAACUGGUGGACUCGAGUCCCGGAGAGGAGAGUGGAAUUCCUGGUGUAGCGGUGAAAUGCGUAGAUAUCAGGAGGAACACCGGUGGCGAAGGCGGCUCUCUGGACGGUGACUGACGGCUGAGACGCGAAAGCGUGGGGAGCAAACAGGAUUGAAGAA
rnacentral:rRNA from 1 species